GGUCACGAGAACCAGCGCCAAGCCCCGGCUCGCUGGUCGGCAACCCCGGUCACGACGGGGUGCUCCCGGGGGAGACCGGGCCGGCCCUUGGGGUCGGCAACCGUGACGG
rnacentral:ncRNA from 2 species